GCUUCGGCGAUUCCUCGGUGCUCCAAAAGCGCCAGAGAAGCCUUCUUUCCAGCCAUGCCGAUGACCAAGGUGCAGGCCGUCAAGAAGGAGCUGCUCGCGGCAAUCCUGCACGGCAGCGAGGAGACCCAGGGCGAGGCGGCCCGGAUGG
rnacentral:SRP_RNA from 13 species